rnacentral:rRNA from 1 species
ACGCUGGCGGCAGGCCUAACACAUGCAAGUCGAGCGGUAGAGAGAAGCUUGCUUCUCUUGAGAGCGGCGGACGGGUGAGUAAUGCCUAGGAAUCUGCCUGGUAGUGGGGGAUAACGUCCGGAAACGGACGCUAAUACCGCAUACGUCCUACGGGAGAAAGCAGGGGACCUUCGGGCCUUGCGCUAUCAGAUGAGCCUAGGUCGGAUUAGCUAGUUGGUGGGGUAAUGGCUCACCAAGGCGACGAUCCGUAACUGGUCUGAGAGGAUGAUCAGUCACACUGGAACUGAGACACGGUCCAGACUCCUACGGGAGGCAGCAGUGGGGAAUAUUGGACAAUGGGCGAAAGCCUGAUCCAGCCAUGCCGCGUGUGUGAAGAAGGUCUUCGGAUUGUAAAGCACUUUAAGUGGGGAGGAAGGGCAGUUACCUAAUACGUGAUUGUUUUGACGUUACCGACAGAAUAAGCACCGGCUAACUCUGUGCCAGCAGCCGCGGUAAUACAGAGGGUGCAAGCGUUAAUCGGAAUUACUGGGCGUAAAGCGCGCGUAGGUGGUUCGUUAAGUUGGAUGUGAAAUCCCCGGGCUCAACCUGGGAACUGCAUUCAAAACUGACGAGCUAGAGUAUGGUAGAGGGUGGUGGAAUUUCCUGUGUAGCGGUGAAAUGCGUAGAUAUAGGAAGGAACACCAGUGGCGAAGGCGACCACCUGGACUGAUACUGACACUGAGGUGCGAAAGCGUGGGGAGCAAAC